rnacentral:tRNA from 1 species
GCGGCUGUAGUCUAGCCUGGUUAUGAUACGAGCUUGCCAAGCUUGCGACCCGGGUUCAAAUCCCGGCAGCCGCA